UACGUAGGGAGCAAGCGUUGUCCGGAAUCAUUGGGCGUAAAGCGCGCGUAGGUGGCUUCGUAAGUCCGCUGUGAAAGUCAAAGGCUCAACCUUUGAAAGCCGGUGGAUACUGUGAAGCUAGAGUACGGAAGAGGCGAGUGGAAUUCCUGGUGUAGCGGUGGAAUGCGCAGAUAUCAGGAGGAACACCAAUAGCGAAGGCAGCUCGCUGGGACGUUACUGACGCUGAAGCACGAAAGCUAGGGGAGCAAACGGG
rnacentral:rRNA from 1 species